ensembl:lncRNA
AAAGUAAAAUCUGAAAAUGUUUUCCCAGUGCACGAUUAUGCAUAGUUUCAACUUGUUGUAGCUUUUACAUCUGCUGCGCACUGACCUCAUGCAUUCAGCUCAAUGCCGACAGUGAUGAUGAUGAUGAUGACGACGAUGAUGAUGAUGAUGUUCACUGUCGUUUUGGUUCCAGGGCCCAGGUUCACUCGGAAAGAAAGGAGAGCAGGGACAGAAAGGAGCUCCAGGUCUUGACGGUCCCGCGGGUGAAAAGGGAGAGCCGGGACAGAAAGGAGAAAGGGGUCUUCCUGGAAUAGGACUACCUGGUCAGCCUGGAGCUAAGGGGGAGCAGGGUGAUCGGGGUCUUCCUGGACUUGCCGGAAGAGUUGGCGCGAAGGUUUGCACGGAUUCCUUUGUAAACAUUCAUUAUUGACAUUACUGACACGUCUGUACGUUCAUACACUGAU